GACGUAGGGGGCCAGCGUUGCUCGGAAUUACUGGGCGUAAAGAGCUCGUAGGCGGUUUGUCGCGUCUGCUGUGAAAACCUAAGGCUCAACCUUGGGCUUGCAGUGGGUACGGGCAGACUAGAGUGCGGUAGGGGUGACUGGAAUUCCUGGUGUAGCGGUGGAAUGCGCAGAUAUCAGGAGGAACACCGAUGGCGAAGGCAGGUCACUGGGCCGCAACUGACGCUGGAGGAGCGGAAAAGCAUGGGGAGCGAACAGG
rnacentral:rRNA from 1 species